UAGACCCCCGUCAGGGCAGGACGUGACACUGCUCUGAUGAAGCAGCUUAUCUUAUAAGAGGAUGAAUUCCCUCUGCAGACAUUCCCGGGCUGUGUGGAAGAUCCUCGCUCUCUUCCACUUUUCCAUAUUGUUUUUCAAUAUGCGACACAGAAAUGUUUCUGUUUCUUCUUCUUCUCAUGUCAAGACCCCAGAAAGCUCCAGACCAGCUGAUCUUCUCUGUGUGUGUGCAGUACUCGUCGCAGCUCAACUCCCAGAACGCAUGUUGGAAGAUUGAAAUGUUGCUUCAGGUUCCGCUGGGAGAAAGGCGAACGAGUCGGAAAUACACCACAGGCCCUUGGGAACGGGAGGAGUUCUGACACACAAACACACAAACACACACACACACACACACAGUUUGCUGAAGAACACAUGCAGCAACAUGAACGGCGUACAUCUGCAAAAGACGUUUAGACACUUAAUGACGUCAGAAGCUCACAUCCGUCCGCCUUACGGUACACAACCUGCAGGCUGCCAUGACGAUGAGGAUGACGUUGACCUAAGUCACAAGAGUUGACUGAACAAAGAUGAAUGGAUUUGCUGCACAAGUUAAACGGCGAGCAUGAUAUGAAAGGUUCCACCUUGCAGCCGAAUCGUGGAACAUCUUUGGAUGGAAAGAACUUAGAAAUAGAUCGUAAAGCUGUGAGUAGCCGUUCACAGUCACAUGUUUCCUUGUUGUCUUCGUUGAGGAACCUUUUUUUCUGCUCUGUGACUCAUUGUCGUGACACACAGUGAAACAUCGUGACUGCUGCAAUGACCUGCAUCUACUAACCAAUCAGAACCUGAAAUGACUCGCUGAACUUCAUGAAGCCUAAUCCUGAGAGGCUCAUUUGUAAUUUCCUCACUGCUUCAACUUGAAGUUGUUUUGCCAUAUUGACGAAGCUUCUCCUUCUGCUUUGAGGAUCGAGGAGCUAGGAGGAACCUUUGAGGAACCUUAAGCAACAGCAGGAGAGUUUCAUACCAGAGACACAUCACAGGAUGCAAGCGAGGGAAACAGGGAUGUUGUCAAGAGGCUUGGCAUCUGCCCACUGUUGAGUAAAGCCAAGGAGGGAGACGACACACACAAGUGUGAUGGGAAAAAUGUGUGUAACCCUUCAAAUGUUUGCACGUGCUGGGAUGGUUGUGUCCAUGUGAAGGAAUUGAGCUGAAGUGUCUCACGCUGAUGAGAUGUCCCCAGUCUACUGAGUCACAACAAGUUGGUCUACAUGUGUUGGAUGUACGUUUCUGUCGAUGCCACAUGGAGGUGAACUGAGGUAUAAGUAGUUUGUGGCCCUGAUGUGAGAGGAGGAAGGUUCUUGGCAUUCUACUGAGCUCUUAUUUACUUACUUUGUUCUUAUUUGUCUGUGCAAAAUCUUCCACCACAAUUUGGUGUCAGAGGUGGGAUCGUUUGAAGUUCCAUCAGGACUCUGUGGACGUCCUCCUCAUUCCACAAAAAGUGAUUCCUGCCCAAACCUCAUCAGACUCAGGGGGAGGGGUCCAAAGAGGCCUGAGUGACUUUAACAUCCAACCAAGGAAGAGUCUCACUCAAAUUGGGUAAGAAGUUGAUAUUCUGAUUGAUCUGAAUUAUUACGGUUGAUAAAAGAUUUCAAAGACAUGAAUUUAGAACUUCGUAAUAGUGGGAGCAAAUUAGAGAAAUCAUAAUAAUAAUGUGUAUGAAUUCAUAAAAGUAGUUGCAAAGUGUUUCUGAUUCAUCAUUAUCCAAAUGUAUUUUUGCUGAGGAAGAGAGGAUUGAUUUGAGAACGAUUGUAUUCAGAUUCAACUCUGAAGUUGCAUCAUCGUGGCCUUGACCAAAAGGGCAAAAUAUGGUUUGUGAAAUCAUAAUUGAAGUAACUCAAUAGAAUUCAAGAACACACACACAAUGUGAAAUACAUAAUCAUUCUGCACUUUAUUCAAAUACAAGGGCAUAAAGAUUGUCCAUUCGGUUUGGUCUUUAAUUUAGAAGAAUAAGCUCAUAAUUGCUGGAAUGUCAAGAUUUACAACUGUAUUUUUCCACAAACAAACCGAUUAUAGAGAAAAUCUUAUGACAUCAGAUCUAUAGAAAAUCUAGAUAAUUGGUAUUACAACAACUAAAUAAAGUAAAAUAUUCAACAAAAUAAUUGUGUUUAAAUACAGAGCAACAAUUGGUGGUGAACGUUUCAACCGGAAACCACAAACAACCUGAUCAACUUUCUUAAGGGAAAACGUUUUGAGGAAAAUAGACUGUGAAAUAAUCUGGAAGAAGGUAAAGACUUUAAAUAGAGCUUUGGCUAUUUUGAGUGAUGUGUUAAAUUAACAAAUGCUCAACAAGAGGGAUGGAUAGGCUGUAAUAACAACUAAUCCGAUACUUUGCAUUGAGUGUGAAAAACAAUCCCACGGUUCCAAUGACGAGAACAUUAGUUUACACUUCAUUGAAUAAAUCACUGUAAAGAAAGUAACAAAGUAACAACGUAUCCUGCUUCUACUUGUGGGAUGUAUGUCUAAUAUCAUUAAUAUCCACAGUCAGCAGGACUGAAGGAACAAAUAAAUGGUACAAUUUAUUAAGAAAAUAAUGGCUAAGACAGAAAUGAAUUGGAUUCAAUGUAGCUCCAUUGUGCUCAAGUCCCAAACUAAGUCACGAACCCAAGUGGAAGCCAUUAGGGUCACUUUUAGAGGGGAUUAAUAACGCCCGGGGGUUUAGUGGGGUCUGUGGGAUGGAGCUCAGUGGUGGAUCCACAGCGCAGGGAUUGGUGAGCAAUGAUGCCACCUAGACCACGAGUGGACUUACCAGUAUUUCUGUUACAUUAAUGGUAAUAGAAUAAAGAUAUAGACACACAUUUAAACAUAUUUAAUAGCGCCGGGACUUUAGCGCGUUAAUUACGAUGAAUUAAUUACAAUGUGAAUUAAGAUUAAUUAAUUACACAAAAAAUAACAAUAAUAAUUAAACAUUUUUUACGCAUUUUUACACUAAUUUUUUGUACCGCGGAACGUUUCUCACUGGAGGAGUUUUGGGAGGACCGAUUAUACUGGAGCACCAACUAGCGUCCAUGACUUCAGACAACAACAAACCACAGUGAACAUGAACGAAGAAGCUGACGAGACCGUGUCGGGUGGCCCCGUGAAUGUGAAAUCUUAUUAUAAUAAACACACGGAUGGAAGCGUCGAUAAGAGCGUGGUUGUGUGCAAGCUGUGCAACAAGGAAUUCACAUCGAGCCUCAAGUAUCACCUCAACGCUAAACAAUUAGCAGCUAGCGUGGACGUACAAGGACCCACACCCAACCCACACUGCACCAGAUGACUGGUUUAAGGACCAGGGUAACUAAGUCCACGUCUGACAAAAUAACCAAUGUUCUGAAUGUACUUGAAAGUAUUGGUCUACUUAAAAAAACAUAGUUUACAGAAGGUCUACUUACCUAUAGGCUACCUGAAUUUCUGAAAGUACUAUAUUUCUAAAUAUGCUAUUUCUACACUUGUCUGCUGGAAUUGGUUGAACAAAAAUAAAAAUCCAUGUGAAAAAAAUUACUUCUCACUGUUUCAUAAUUAAUUACAAAGCCUCUAAUUAAUUAGAUUUUAUAUAUUAUAUAUUAUAUAUAUAUUGACCUUACAUAUAUUUUUUUUAUAAUAAUUUUUUACCUAUUAUUUAAAAAAAAAUCUUUUCUUUUUUGACCCUACAUAUUUUGACUUUUUUCACAAUAUUUUAUUGCCCAUGACAUGACUGGAAUGAUCUUAGAUGGAGCAACCUACACGUCCCUGUCACUAAUGCCAAAUGCCCCAAAUUUCUGUACUUUAAACCUUAUCUGGGUUCAACCCUCAAGGGACAUGGUGGCUCCUAAAUCCUUUUUUAGUUUUGGGUAACUGACAUUUAUAAAAAAUCAUAAUGGGAUAUUGCCCCAGAGACGGAUUGGUGCAUCUUGGAGGAUCAACCAUGCUAUUCAUCCUUCCUGCAUUGGUAAAGGCACAAGUGAGUUGAAUUUGAAUGUAACAGAGAAUUGGAGGGUGGAUGCACUAAAAAGGGUAAACAAAUCUACACCCUGUGCCAGACUGUCAGUUUAAGGUUGUCCACAGGAUGCCCUGAAGUAGACAAACAUGUGAUUGUCUUGAAAAAUGCCCUCAUAGGCUGUAAUAAGUUUCAUGUCAGUGUGACCACUGAAUGAGACACAUCUGCUCAUCUUUACUGACUCAUCCGGCCUUCUCUCCCGUCAAUAAGGUGGAACCCUAUAGGCUACGUAGCAUGGCUAAUAAGUGCUAAAAGCAAAGCAAUUAACAUCAAAUUCAAUUCAUCAUCAUUCAAAAGAUUCUUCAUCAUUCUUGACAAUGCCAUCAUAACCAAGUAAACGCACCUUGUGUUUCUGCAUAACCCCCAGGGUUCACUUCUCUGAAACAACCAGUGGGGACAAUGCCCCCACUACUACCUCCGCGGUAGUGUGCUCAAGACUUGGCGGGUGGGAUUUGAACCCACUGGCGGUGCGCUCAGAGGCUUUUGGCACCCUGCACUCACCCCUACACUACCAGUCCUGGUCACAUUUUGGUAACUUUGAUUCUCCUAUUUAACCUUGAGCAUGUGAGUUAAACUUUAAAACUCUCUUAAAUGCUAUUUCCACAGCUGGGCUUGAACCCACAACCUUCAAGUGCAGUGCAGGGGCUUAUGUCAGCAGCUCUUCCACUGUGCUACUUCACCACACACUAACCAGCCCUUUAUUUGUUGUAUUUAACCUUGAGACUGCUACUCAAACCUCAAAACUCUUUCAAAGCAGAAGUGAUGUCUGCAUGAAGGGGCAUGAACCCACAACCUCAGACAGCAGGUUGGAGCCUGCAGCCCUUCAGUUGUUCCCUUGUGCUAUUCAAGCACAUGCCUCAAUGUGUCCGUUUCUCAUAUUAGACCUUGGGAUUGUUUACUAAACCUCAAAACUGUUUCAAAGUUUGAAGCCCUGACUGCAACCAAACCCUCCUUCUGAGAGAGAAGGUUUGAACUCAGGAUCCUCCACACUUCAGCCUUCCUGCUAUCUCCCUGCACUGUUCCACUAUACACCUGUUGAUGCUUUUGAAUCCAACCUCAAUUCUCAUAGAUUCUCAGGCUGGAAUCCACAACCGUUCCAUACCGUUAUAAUAGAAUUGCAGGUCAAGUAAAGUCAUAUAAUGGCAUUUCUAAUAAAGCCCUAGUUGAUUUCACUACU